UACGUAGGGUGCGAGCGUUGCCCGGAUUUAUUGGGCGUAAAGGGCGCGUGGACGGCGCUCGGCACGUCCGUUGUGAAAUCGCCCGGCUCAACUGGGCGGGGUCAGCGGAUACGGUCGAGCUUGAGCAAGCUAGGGCAAGUGGAAUUCCCGGUGUAGUGGUGGAAUGCGUAGAUAUCGGGAGGAACACCAGUGGCGAAGGCGGUUGCCUGGAGCUUUGCUGACGCUGAUGCGCGAAAGCGUGGGAGC
rnacentral:rRNA from 1 species